GAUGAAGAACGUAGCGAAAUGCGAUACUUGGUGUGAAUUGCAGAAUCCCGUGAACCAUCGAGUCUUUGAACGCAAGUUGCGCCCGAAGCCAUUAGGCCGAGGGCACGCCUGCCUGGGUGUCACACGUCGUUGCCCCCCCAUCUACUCCUUCGGGAUUGCGGGGGGCGGAUGAUAGCCUCCCGUGCGCCUCGUCGCGCGGUUGGCAUAAAUGCCAAGUCCUCGGCGACGCACGCCACGACAAUCGGUGGUUGCGAAACCUCGGUGGCCCGUCGUGUGCGGUCGUCGCGCAUCGAGGGCUCGAAAAAAUUGCCGGGCUCCGGCUCGGCUUUCAACGCGACCCCAGGUCAGGCGGGGUUACCCGCUGAAUUUAAGCAUAUCAAUAAGCGGAGGA
rnacentral:misc_RNA from 1 species